GAUAAUAUACUUUAACAAAAAGCAUCCAUUUGCACUGGAAAAUUGAGAUAUAUACACCUCUAUUAUCA
rnacentral:tRNA from 1 species